AAUUAACUCAGAACCCUAAUUCCCCAAUUCCUAAACCUAACCGCCGCAGCCUCACCCUCUUUCAACGUACAAACGCAUACACACUGAAGAAAUGGGGAAACAGAGAGAAAGAUCUGAGAAAGAGAGGGAAGCGAAGGGAGACAGCGCUGGCUGGGCUUCGCUGCCGUCGCCGUCGAGCUGAGGGAAAGAAAGGGAGCUUCACCGCGCCGUCAUCCAACCGGUCGAGUCUGCUGCCUCACCGCCGCCUCCUUCGUCGCGCGCUACUGCCGGCCUGGAAUCGCCGCCACUGUACCUUGCCCGCUUGUCGCCGCCGUUCCGUGGAGUCCGCUCUGGUGCCGGUUGAACAGGGAUGAGGGAGAGGCGUCGAGAGAGAGAUGCAAUGGAGGUUAGAGGGAAGAGCUGCCAUCACCACCGUUCCGUCUAUGAAGCCUGAGCUCGUGUUGCCGUCCUGAGCUUCGGUGCCGCCGUGGAGGAGAGUGGAGUAGUCACCGUCGUUGGAGAGAGGGAGAGCCAGAGGAGGACGAGACGUGUGAGAAAGGAGACGCACAGGGGAGGAACCGUUCCUCUGCCCCUGCUAUCGCCGGAAUUCCUGGUCGCCGUCGUCGUUCAUGACGUAUGCCCUGCUCUCUGGUUUCUGUUUUCCCGAGUACCAGAGCUGCUGCUCCAUUCCUGUAUUUCUUUUGCCUCUAUUAAAUUCCCUUCCAAAAUUGUUGUUGCUGCUACUAGAGUUGUGGGUGAUGCUGCUGUCGUUGAUCGGAGAUGCCAAACUGUUGCUGCUACUACUUUGAGAUGAUAUGGCUGCUAUUAAGGUUGUUGUUCAUGAGUGCAGCAUUCCCAAUUUUUAUGGAUUUCGACACUUUGAGCGACAGGUUUGAAGACGCAAUUUGAAGCUGCGAGUGAUCAUUAGGCUUUCUUUAUGGUU